CAUGCGCUCAAGUGACGCAAGGAAAUAACCCUAGUUCCUAGGAUGGCGCAUGAUCCAAGUUAUUAUAGUAAGCUCUAGUGUUUACACCUAAGCCUGAAAAGAUAAUCCUUGCUCACAGUAUUUCCAUUGCAGUCCAUGAAAAAUCCACAUACAAGCCAAAAAUGUGGUUUGUCAGAUAUUUUGUCAUAAUAACGGAAACCUGACUAACACAGAGGGAAACAGAUAUUUGAAACCAUGCACCUACUUAGCAAGAGAACAGGAGCACUUGACGGAAAUGACACAGACUAUUAAGAGGUGAUUCAAGGGUGAAUCCAAAGAUUUUGUCCUAAGCAAGUGAGUAAACCACACAGGUGGAUCUCUAAGAAGAAAAUAUCAUGUCUUCCCACUCUGCACUGUAUCCCUUGGAGAAGAGUGCCUACUGUAUGCAGAGCGUGUUUGCAUAUUUGGAUUCUCUGAAGGACACAAUGACUUCCCCCCAUGAUACCGCAACACAAUUGCUCAGCUAUCAAGUAAAGCUUUUUUAUCCUGCUGAGUUCAAAGUUCAAAAUUUAUUUCUUAGCUUAAUGCAAUGCUAGUGCAAGUGUGUUUAAUAUAUUCAUUCUAAAUGCCAUCAGAGGACGGUGGUGUCAACAUUUUGGCUUUGUUUGGACAGCUUUUGUGCAAGUGCAAACACUGAGUGUAUGAAAUCUAAUGAGAUUAGGCGGUUACUGCAAAAUUAAAGGCAGGCGACUAGACUUCAAAGACAUUACCGCAGUGCAAAUCCC
rnacentral:lncRNA from 1 species